rnacentral:rRNA from 1 species
AACGAACGCUGGCGGCAGGCUUAACACAUGCAAGUCGAACGCCCCGCAAGGGGAGUGGCAGACGGGUGAGUAACGCGUGGGAACGUGCCCUUCGCUUCGGAAUAUUCCCGGGAAACUGGGAGCAAUGCCGAAUACGCCGUAUUGGGAAAGAUUUAUCGGCGAAGGAUCGGCCCGCGUUAGAUUAGGUAGUUGGCGGUGUAAUGGACCACCAAGCCUACGAUCUAUAGCUGGUCUGAGAGGAUGAUCAGCCACACUGGGACUGAGACACGGCCCAGACUCCUACGGGAGGCAGCAGUGGGGAAUCUUGGACAAUGGGCGCAAGCCUGAUCCAGCCAUGCCGCGUGAGUGAAGAAGGCCUUAGGGUUGUAAAACUCUUUCGCCGGAGAAGAUAAUGACGGUAUCCGGAGAAGAAGCCCCGGCUAACUUCGUGCCAGCAGCCGCGGUAAUACGAAGGGGGCUAGCGUUGUUCGGAAUUACUGGGCGUAAAGCGCACGUAGGCGGGUUUGUAAGUAGGGGGUGAAAUCCCAGGGCUCAACCCUGGAACUGCCUUCUAGACUGCAAGCCUGGAGGUCAGGAGAGGCGAGUGGAAUACCGAGUGUAGAGGUGAAAUUCGUAGAUAUUCGGUGGAACACCAGUGGCGAAGGCGA